ACCCUUCAAUGUGUGACCUCUUCGUGGCCAAUGGAGAGUGCAGAGAAGGAAACUGAGAAGCUCGUAGGUCUCAAGCACUAACUUCUGGCCUUCUAGAUGGCAAAAAUGGAUAAAAAGGGCUGCAAAACUUGGAGAGAGGAAACAAAGAGGACUACAAAGAUCCGGU